rnacentral:tRNA from 1 species
UCCCUUGUGGCUUAGAUGGUAAAGUGUCUACCUACAAUGCGGGAGACCCGGGUGCGAUCCCUGGCUGGGGAA